rnacentral:rRNA from 1 species
GAAUAUUGGUCAAUGGGCGCAAGCCUGAACCAGCCAUGCCGCGUGCAGGAUGAAGCAUCUAUGGUGUGUAAACUGCUUUUAUACGGGAAGAAACCCCGCCUCGUGAGGCGGACUGACGGUACCGUAAGAAUAAGGACCGGCUAACUCCGUGCCAGCAGCCGCGGUAAUACGGAGGGUCCAAGCGUUAUCCGGAAUCAUUGGGUUUAAAGGGUCCGUAGGCGGGCCUGUAAGUCAGUGGUGAAAUCUCCCGGCUCAACCGGGAAAUUGCCAUUGAUACUGCAGGUCUUGAAUUAUUGGGAAGUAACUAGAAUAUGUAGUGUAGCGGUGAAAUGCUUAGAGAUUACAUGGAAUACCGAUUGCGAAGGCAGGUUACUACCAAUACAUUGACGCUGAUGGACGAAAGCGUGGGUAGCGAACAG